ACGGCAUUCUUAUGAACAGUACCUAACUCGAGGUACUGUUCAACGGGUUGCUUUGACUCAAUCAUAGUUUCUUUAACAUGUCCGCCGAUCCACCGCCUCCAUCAUCGGCUUCUAAACCUCACAAUAACACUUCUCGAUAUCUACUCCACCUUCUCCACCGCUCAUCUUAUCCGAUGCGUUUCCCAUAACCCUACACACUUCCGGGUCGUUGCACCCCGCUAUAAUUUGUGUAUUCGACCUUUAAAGUGUGACUGACAGUGAUGAAACAGAGGUUGAAGAAGCCAUCAAUUUCUCCAUGUUUUCGUCGACACAUAGUCUUUGUCCGGCGCCCGUCGGUUGCCUUCCGCCUGCUGACGCCCUUCCGUCGGUCUUUACGACCUUCGUUUUGCUGAAAAUCGACUCGACAAUCGACCGGUGUUCGACUUCAUGUAUACUCGACUGUCUAAAAUCGACUUACGGUCACAUCCCUUCUCUAAAAUCGAACGACGAUGCCCUGGUAAGUGGUCAUUUAUAAUUUUCCUACCCUAAUUCGUCAUACUCUAUUCUCUAUUCUUCCCUAAUUCUUCAUCUGUGAUAACAUCUGGCAAUUUAGUCAAACGAUAGCAGUAGCAUCGUUAACAUGCCGAUUAGGUCAUUUUGUUGUCCUGUUGAUGUAAUGUCUCGAACUGUAUUUUUCAUCAAUCUUAACUCCACAUUUGGUUCACUUAGAAAAGAGUUAUCCAGGAAAGGUGUCUAUUUUGCCACAAGCCAUAACUUAGGGAAUGCAGAUACAGUCUAUGAUACAUCCCAAUGCAGGCGCUACCUCUCAAUAGCUCAAUGUCUAUCUUGCUUCGAUGUGGGGGUUUCUAUAUUAACUUCAUGUGAAACUACCCGAAAUGGUGCUUAUGUUAUUGUUGAUGACUGUUUCAUCAGCUGGAGUAUUUGAUGGAUGGAUCUCUAUGGACGAACCAGGCUAUCCGGUAAUAGAAGGUGAUUCGUAUCUUUGUCACUUUUUCAGAUAUUGAUCAGAAGAGAACAUCUCAAUAUCCCAACUACAAAUGGAAGAAAACAUGGGAAGUUACGAGUGUAGGUGUAAUGGCAAUUUCCUCCACUUUAAAGAACAUAACACAUGUCUUAGUGUGUAUUUCAAAAUAUUUACAUUUUUCGUGUAAAACAUAGUUCAUAUAAAUUGGUAAAAAAACAAAAUGUUGUUGAAUUUAUUGGUAAAAGAUGAAACAUCGUUACAUCGAUUGGUAGAAAAGUGAGUUUGUUGUAUAAAGAAAUACAUUUAAAUUUCAACAUAUAUAUAUUUUUAAAAUUUAACAUAUGUAUAUGUGAUAUUGACGAUUGAUAAAUAGGAAAUAGGUGAAGAUGUUGCUACGCGCGAGUGCUGGGUGGAGUUUUGCAUGGACUGUUGUUCUUGGUGUUGCAACUAUGGAUACAGAUUCUACAAAUAUUACCUUUUCCCUUUAUUUAUUUUGUAAUUGUUUUUUUUUAAACAUUUUUGCACUUCCAUGAAAUUAAUAUCCAUAAUCUUGAUGAUGAGGUACAUACUACACAUACAUUUGGAGAUCAAGGCUAUGAUGGCACAAUAUAUGCCCUUGGGUAAUGAAAGAGUAAGCAGCAUGUGCUUUUGGUGUUCGUAUGUAUAUUUUGACACCAUCUCAUGUAUUGUAUAUGCUAUAUAUAUUAGUUUGUUUUAAGAUUUUUUGUCACUCCAUAAA